rnacentral:lncRNA from 1 species
CUCUAAAUUCUUGCAAGAAUAUAUUCCUUUGCUAAAUAAUAUGUGUCAAAACGUUUACACUUGACGACACCAUUAAAGUUGCGGAUCAAAAAACGACAUAAUACAAAAGGUUUUAGUAAAACAUGAAGGUACAUAAGCAUGUUCUCUAGAAUUUGCAGAUUCAUUCACAAUAAGGCUAAGCAUUUCAGUAAAAUUUCUUCUCUUUCAAGCAUUCAGCAGUUUCCUUGACGCUUUCAGCCAGGGGAAUGAAUUCAAUACCCAAUUUUUUGGUUCUUUCGACGUUAACCUGGUACAUUGGCGUAAAUGGCUUAUCAUCAGCACACCUGGA